CCCACCUUGCGGUGGACGGUGCCAGAGAGACUCACAGGAGAGCUGAAUCUGCCAGCAAAGACUGAUGGGAAAAAACACUGUCACAUGAAACCUCAGAGGAGGAGCUUUGGUCUCCUUUCAACAUCAACAGAAGGGAACUGGCAGUUUAAAGGAAGUCUGGACAAACCGAGGUGCUGAGUUGUAGGUUUGCACCACACUUUUGCUGAUGUGGAUCUUUUAACACGAGACUUGAAAAAGACUCCAAUUCAGUGCCUGUUGAACUAAUCAAUCACACAGUUGGGCGGAGGAUAAUGUUAUUGCUCAAAAGUUGCUCUUUCUGUUUUCAUGUGAAUUUGUCAUAUUUGUAGUUGAUGGAUGGCAGUGAGGCACCUUGUUGACCAGAACGACAACUUUCCCCGGUUGUCCCAUCUGCUUCUUCCUCUCCAAAUGUUCUUUAGUGAUAUACACAGCAACCCUGGUUUUACCACUUCCUGUUGGGAGGCAGAUGAUGAUGUUCUUUUCCUCCAGAGCUGGUCUCGCCACCUCCAUCUGAUAGUCACGCAGAACAAUUUCCCUCUUACUCGCUGAGAGAGAGAAGGAGAGAGAAAGUGACAUGCCAUAUAUCAUGAUCCUGCAGGUACAGUUGUGCUUGCCUUCAGCAUCCAGAGCAGAGGAGGGAUUCUGUAUCUCCAUGAAGGAAAGGCAGAAUUCAAAAUAGGGAUCCAAAAAGAAACAAGUCUGCUUCAAUCUGGAGGAACAAUUACCCUAGAAACAUGUGAACUGAGAGCUUCUGGCAGAGGACAGAUGAGCCAGUGAAGUAGACCCUGAGCCGACCCGUUCUUGAUCACUUCAAUAUGCCCUCAUGUUAGCGGCAGGCCUCGUCUGGAACAGGCAUCUUUGCUGAACUCCGAGUGGAAAUAUUCCCUGGAUGUGACGGUGAUUUAGCACUUUUUUGAGGAGACGGGACUGGUGUACUUUAUGCGGUGGAGGGCAACGUCUCACAUGUGGAGCACUAACAGAACCACCGAGAAUCGGGCCGCCGAACACAACUAAGCCAUUCUUUUCCAUACGCUUUUAAAUAAUAACUCUGAAAAUUUCCUGACAGUUAAUUGCUUGCAGGAAAGUUUCUCCGGCGAAGGCUGGAUUAUGGGUCAUUAGAUGUUUUGCACAAAAGAACUAAGCUGAAAUGUCAAAGGGAAAAUAGAUUUGAUGCCUUAUUUCCUUUCAAACACUGAACUAGACAAUGAUUGAAUGUACAAUUAAAGACAUGGCCACUAUUAAAGCAGGGUUAAUUUUAAUAGCUCUGUCAAUUAGGGUUUUGUGGCAUUCAAUUCACUUACUAAUUUCAAUGUUCGCUUUUUGACCAAUGAAUUUCCAUGACAUUUCCAAUCAUUCGUCAUUACUGGAGAAGUGUUGUAAUUCCUAUGAAUUUGAAUUGAAAUGGCCAGAUCACACAGUAUGUGCAGAUUCAAUAUACAUCUCAAAAGCCCGCUUCAUGUUGGUCUCAUUUCAUUUUAUUUAUUUAUUUUUUUAAAUUACAUUUUAUUUUAUUUAUUUUUAAUUUUUUUUUAGCUUUAUUUAAUUUUAUUUUGAAAUGUAUAAUAAUUAAAUGUACAUUUGAUGACACUUGAAGCCUUUAUAUGUAAUGCAUUAUAAACAUUUUUAAUGCAUUAAUUAUGCAUUGUUAUUCACCUUAUAAUGCAUUGUAUUUUCCCAUGAAUAAUUAUAACCAUAGUUAUAAUACAUUAUAAUACUUAUCUAUUCAUUUGACACAUCUUUAGAAAGUAUAAUGCAUUAAAACAUGACAAAUUUCAUAUGUAUCUGCAAAUAUAUAAUGCAUUUUAACUUUAGUUACAUUUAUUUAUGUAAAGCUAUAAUGCAUUAUAACAUACUUUAUGAAGACCUUUACAAUGCAUUAUACAUAAAGGCUUUAUGUAAAGUGUUACUGCACAUUUCUAUAGCAAGGAUUUUGUUUAUUGAAACUCAAGCAACUUCAAGCAUUUCUCAGUUUAAUUCUGAGUGAAUGGCACAACCCUACUGGAUAAUGAUUUUAAAAUAUAUAUUUUUAGAGUUUGCACUCAAUAAGAGAAAGUAUGAAAUAGUUCAGAGAUGGGCAUAACUAGAAACUAAAUCAAUGUAAUUUGUAAUUGAACUAAUUCUUUUCCCCCAUCUUUUACAGUGCAUUAAUUGCUGGGACUGUCCAAACUGGAUCAAGUGCAUUAGGUACGAACCCACACACAUUCAGUUUCGGAUGAAAGACAUUUGACUGUACCUGACGGAUCAUCAUCCUCUGUGAGAUCUUCUUUCUCUUCCUCCUUGCCUUCUUUGUACAUGUCGACAUCUGUGAGAGAAUAUAUGCACUGCUGUUAGUUUGAAGAUUUGAAACACUGUUCUUGGUCUCUCACACUUUUGCAUUGCAUUGCAUGUGUCCGUCCAGGCUUUGUUGUUUUUUCAGAUAGGAUAGUGAUAGAGCUAAAUCAGUCCAAUAAUGCCAAGAUACAGAAUACAUUUAUCCAUGUAUCUCCUCACAAUAGAUGAGCAUGAGCAAUUGACCCUUUGCCGGGAGUUUGAUUGACAGGUGAUCUAACCAGUCAUAAUGCUGAAUCCUCUGUUUUGUCUGACAAAGCAGUCAGGGGAGUUAGUAGAUUAACGUCGGUGGACUUGAACUUGAAAAAUGGUGUGUACUGACGUCUUUCAGCGGUUGAAACAACAUUCCUUCUGAUGUUCGUUCAUGUUUAUUUGAUACUAUAAAUAAACUAGGAAGAGUUGAUUGGGUCACGAGUCGCUUGAAAUGAGGCACUACAGCGAUCUCGACACAUUAAAGAACAACAAAAUGGUAUUUAUUGUUCAAAUUUCUUACAAAAUUUGAGACUUUUUGAGAUGUUUUAUAUCAAAACUAAUCUGGUCUGUCGGCGCGUUGUGUGUCCUCUUUGCUCUGCGAUGUAUUUUUCACUGUGUGAGAACAUGAUGUGUGGCGUGAGAGCGGCAUGGUUUAGUUGGACGUAGCAACAGUAACUAAAGGGGGUGGGGCUUUGCGAAAGGUCAAUUCCUCACAGAGCCAACAAUAACAAAAAAAAACACCAAAAGCUAGAUUAGGAGUAGUUGAUAAAGAGCAGGAUUGUUUGUUUGCUCAACCAAGUUUUUUGAUUUGUGAAAGGAAAAGCUUCAGAUAUUCACCUUC